CUCCAACCCCUUCCCACACAGGUGGGCCCCAUCGUCAGGGCCAAGGAGCCACACCUGGACCAGACGCCGGGCGAGGGAAGGGCACCGGCGGGUGUUGGAGGAGAAGCCCAGAGCAGGAACCAACCGGGGAGCAGGUGGCAGGCAGCAGAACUGUGAGUGUCUCUCAGCUCCUCCACACACGGUGUUGCAGGCAGCUCCUGGAGUAUCUGGGACCAUGGGGACAAACCCCCCACGCUGACCCUCUCCAGGCCUCAGAACAGUGAGGAAAAGGAAGGCCCAGGUUGAAUGGCGGCAUUGUGUGCAAUUCUGGGCCUUUGUGUUCUGAGCAAUGGAACCAAAGAAGGGAGAACUGAUCAGGAGCUGAAAAUCUAUCCACCCGCCUCUCCCGAUGAAAUAGCCGUGCAAGUGUGUGAUUUGAUGAGUGAGCGGCUGAGGGAAGAUGUCAGGAACAGUAGCAGUCUUCCCCGAAGAGAGUGAAGAGCACCAGACCCAGAGACAGGAGGCCCUGGGACAAAUCACAGCCGCUCUGAGCCCGCUGGUAACCAACGGGCCACUGGGGCUUUGGAAGGGCUCCCAAAGUCGGGCUGUGUCCUAGGUGUGCUGCAAAGCUCAAGAAAGAGCAGCAGUUGUUUUUGUCGCCCAUUUUUCUCACGCUUGCUGAUUAUUACAGGCGCCUUCAUGCUCCUGGUAGAGGGCAGGAUGAGGCACUGGCCCCAUUACGACAACAGGGGAAACUGAGGCCUGGCGAGUGAAGGAACUUCAGAGUCACGGGGAUAGGCAGUGGCAGAGGGGCAUUCUGGUGCCAGUUCUCACGUAGCUGGAAAAAAGGAAGAAGGGGCUGGAGGUGAACGGAGGGAAGAUGGAGGGACAGACUCCAGCAGGGAGGUGGGACAAGGCCCAGGCCUGCCUUAUAUAACGCGGCCCACCUGUUCGCCCCGGCACACACCACACGUGUGUGCAAACGUGCCCCCCAGUCCUUGCUCACCAGCGAAUGAGCCACAGAGACUGGGUCUAAACAAAUUGGAUUAGAAAGGCUGCUGCGGGCGCCUCCUUCUGCUCCUGUCCGGCUCCGACACCAAGCAGGCUGCGGAGAGGCCAGCUGCACAAUCCCCGCCACACUGACAAUCGUCCUGGCCCCCAGGCCCCAGCCCUGAGCCCCAGGAAGGGGACGGGGUCUGAGAGGAUGCCACAGUGAUGGAUGGAGUGAGGGAGGCUCCGGGCCGCCUCCAGGACGCACAGGAUGUUAGUGCUUGUGUGAGGCCACUUCCGAGUGUUCCCAGCCCACCCCGCCGCCCGCUCCUCCCCCUUCUCCAGCCUCUCCUGCAGUCACCACUGCCUGUCUAGGACUUGGCCCUGCCGCUAUACCCAUCCCUGGCUCCAUGUUCUCACAGCUGGGCUGAGCCGGAAGUGGGCAGCUCAGGAGACAUCAGCCUGGGGAGAGCACCAGGUGGCACUUCAGAGUAAGGAAACUGGGCAGCAGAGCGAGGCCACCUGAAGGUGGCAUCUAGUGCUCUCAUGUGCAUUGUUGGGUUCAACCCUCAAAAUGUGCCCGGGAGUAGGAGACUGCCAUGGAACCAGUGUGACCGCUGGAGUUUCUUCAUCACAACACCUUUUCCUGAGCCCUGAGACUGUGCCGGGCCAGGUGACAGCUGAGGACAGAGACGAAAGACCCAUUGUCCUAUCUUCUGUUGCUCUAGGAAUCACUCUCUGGGGACUGGAGCUUGGGCACUGGGGCUCCCCUGGCUUUUGCAGGCACGGUCCCACAGAGAUCGGAUAUUUCCACCCAGGGCAGCUGCAGCAAGAACCCGGCCCUGAUGUCAGGCAGCCCCCAGUUCCCAUCCUGUCCCACUCCCUUCCCGGCUGGAUCGCUGUGGUCAAAUGACUUAGCAUCUCCACGCGUGUUUCGCCUUCUCCAAAGCAGGACUGCAAAAGCUCCCGCUUCAUAGGGACAACAGGAUGAACUGCCAUUGUCUGCACUCGCCUGGAGGCUCAGCCGGGGUCACAGCAGGAGCUAGGAGCUGGGUCAGAAGCGGGUGGGCCCCUCACCUGCCGUUCCUCUUCCCCAUCCAGUCCAUGGUCCAAGCAGUCAGGGGCCAGGACAGCUAAAGGUUGGCGCAGGCGGUUUCCCUGUCACAUCCUGGUCCUGCCCCAGCCCCACAGCAGGAGAGCCCAGGUGACCAGCAGGGGCCCCCAACCCUCUGGGUGGCAGCAGAGGUGGGGCGCGCAGAGGGCUCCCAGCCCGGAGCAGCCUGCCAUAUAAGGGAAGGAGCCCAGGAGCCUCCUCACCCUGGCCUGGAGAGAAACCCCAGACAGCCACUGUUUAUUUCUCCUUCCCAGCCUCCUCUUCACCCUCCCCUCCAGCGCUUCCAGACAGAAGACAGAGGAUCCCCGGCUGGCUGGCGACAUCUCCUGAAGACAGGGCGAGAGGGGGGGAAAUGGCCGUCCCCCGGGGUCAGGCUCCCGGGCUGCCAAAAGCCCUCCCUGAACCUCCAGGUAAAAGGCCCACCUGGCUCAGCCUCCUCCUAUCACAGAAGGGGAAGCAGAGACCCCAAGGGGAAAGUGACCUGCUAAGAUAACAGUGCCAACUGCCGACGGGAUCCUGGGACCCGACGGACCAGCUGUCUCAUCUCCUGACUGGGGGUCCAGAGCAUGCAAGAGUCUUCGUGGGAGUGCGAAGAUUACAGUCAUGGGACGCGGGCAUUUUGCUUCUACCUCGACCUGACUAUCAGGCUCGGCCCCAUCUCCCUGGGCACAGAAGAGGAGCUUCAUUUGCUCAGUGACCAGGUACAAUUAUGAGGCCCCGUCCCAAACCCAACGGUCAGGGAGGAGAGACCCAGAGCGGAGGUUGAUGGAAGGGUUGCUGGACUGUUUUUUCUGAGUUGAGCAGCCCAGCACAGCUCCUUGCUCUGUGCCUUCAGAAAAGCCCCUGCUGUGCAGCCUUAGGGCUCACAGGGAUCGACACAGCAAAUAUUCAAGAAGAGGCCUUUUGGUUCUAGUCAUCACCCGUGUGUAGGCCACCGUAGUACUUUAAAAUGUAAGAUGAGUCCUCUGAGUACUUAAAUAGAAACCGUUAUUAUAAAAUGAAAAUGGUAACACUGUCCAAAGGUAGAAAUAAACACAGUGAAAGUGACACAACAUGGUUAGGCUUUAACCUGACGUGUGGCUUGCAGGAUCCUGAGCGGUAAGAGGGGUCAGGAAGGUGUCAGCCCAGGCAGGACGGAAAGAGAAGCGACGGAGACCACCGGAGCCACUCUGUCCCCAAGUGACUCAGUGCUGAGACCCCCAGCUCCCACACCGCAGGGGCCUGGCCCAGCACCUCCUCUGCCGGGUGCGGAGCAGGGGUGUGGCGUGGACAUGUUGUCCCCUGGCCGAGAGAGUCCAGGUUAGAACUGCUCGCCAACCAGAGACAGUUUGAAAGUUUUCUUUUUUCCAUCCUACCCCUCCUCCCUCUUCUUCUCCUCUUCCUCC